rnacentral:rRNA from 1 species
UGGGGAAUUUUGGACAAUGGGGGCAACCCUGAUCCAGCCAUGCCGCGUGAGUGAAGAAGGCCUUCGGGUUGUAAAGCUCUUUCGGCCGGGAAGAAAUCGCACGGGCUAAUACCCUGUGUGGAUGACGGUACCGGAAUAAGAAGCACCGGCUAACUACGUGCCAGCAGCCGCGGUAAUACGUAGGGUGCGAGCGUUAAUCGGAAUUACUGGGCGUAAAGCGUGCGCAGGCGGUUUAGUAAGACAGGCGUGAAAUCCCCGGGCUCAACCUGGGAACUGCGCUUGUGACUGCUAAGCUAGAGUACGGCAGAGGGGGGUGGAAUUCCACGUGUAGCAGUGAAAUGCGUAGAGAUGUGGAGGAACACCAAUGGCGAAGGCAGCCCCCUGGGUCGAUACUGACGCUCAUGCACGAAAGCGUGGGUAGCAAACA